rnacentral:misc_RNA from 1 species
GUAGGUGAACCUGCGGAAGGAUCAUUACUGAGUUUAUGCCCUAACGGGUAGAUCUCCACCCUUGAAUACAAACUCUUGUUGCUUUGGCGGGCCGCUUCGGCUACUGGCUUCGGCUGGUGAGUGCCUGCCAGAGGACCCCAAAUUCUGAAUUAUAGUGUCGUCUGAGAACUAUAUAAUAGUUAAAACUUUCAACAACGGAUCUCUUGGUUCUG